AACAGCUGGAAACGGCUGCUAAUACCGAAUACGUCUUUUUCAUCGCAUGGUGAGAAGAAGAAAAAGGAACGGCCUCUACACAAAGCGGUCGCCGAAGGAGGGGUUUUGCGUCUGAUUAGCUAGUUGGAGGGGUAACGGCCCAACAAGGCGACGAUCAGUAGCCGGUCUGAGAGGAUGAACGGCCACAUUGGGACUGAGACACGGCCCAGACUCCUACGGGAGGCAGCAGUGGGGAAUCUUCCGCAAUGGACGAAAGUCUGACGGAGCAACGCCGCGUGAGUGAAGACGGUCUUCGGAUUGUAAAGCUCUGUUAUACGGGACGAACGGCAAGGUGGUAAAUAGCCAUCAUGAGUGACGGUACCGUAAGAGAAAGCCACGGCUAACUACGUGCCAGCAGCCGCGUAAAU
rnacentral:rRNA from 1 species